rnacentral:snRNA from 2 species
GUCCCUUCGGGGACGUCCGAUAAAAUUAGAACGAUACAGGAAAGAUUAGCAUGGCCCUUGAUGACACGCACAAAUUAAGAAAUGGUCCAAAUUUUU